AGCGAACGCUGGCGGCAGGCCUAACACAUGCAAGUCGAACGAACCCUUCGGGGUUAGUGGCGGACGGGUGAGUAACACGCGGGAACGUGCCUUUAGGUUCGGAAUAACUCAGGGAAACUUGUGCUAAUACCGAAUGUGCCCUUCGGGGGAAAGAUUUAUCGCCUUUAGAGCGGCCCGCGUCUGAUUAGCUAGUUGGUGAGGUAAUGGCUCACCAAGGCUACGAUCAGUAGCUGGUCUGAGAGGAUGACCAGCCACAUUGGGACUGAGACACGGCCCAAACGCCUGCGGGAGGCAGCAGUGGGGAAUCUUGCGCAAUGGGCGAAAGCCUGACGCAGCCAUGCCGCGUGGAUGAUGAAGGUCUUAGGAUUGUAAAAUCCUUUCACCGGUGAAGAUAAUGACUGUAGCCGGAGAAGAAGCCCCGGCUAACUUCGUGCCAGCAGCCGCCGCCGUAA
rnacentral:rRNA from 1 species